rnacentral:rRNA from 1 species
UACGGUAGGGUGCAAGCGUUAAUCGGAAUUACUGGGCGUAAAGCGUGCGCAGGCGGCUUUGCAAGACAGAUGUGGAAAUCCCCGGGCUUAACCUGGGAACUGCAUUUGUGACUGCAUGGCUUGAGGUUUGGAAGGGGGGACUGGAAUUCUCGGUGUAGCAGUGAAAUGCGUAGAUAUCGGGAGGAACACCAGUGGCGAAGGCGAGUCCCUGGACAACACCUGGACACUGAGGCACAGAAAGCCAGGGGAGCAAACGGG